rnacentral:rRNA from 1 species
GAUGAACGCUGGCGGCGUGCCUAAUACAUGCAAGUCGAGCGAACAGACGAGGAGCUUGCUCCUCUGACGUUAGCGGCGGACGGGUGAGUAACACGUGGAUAACCCACCUAUAAGACUGGGAUAACUUCGGGAAACCGGAGCUAAUACCGGAUAAUAUAUUGAACCGCAUGGUUCAAUAGUGAAAGACGGUUUUGCUGUCACUUAUAGAUGGAUCCGCGCCGCAUUAGCUAGUUGGUAAGGUAACGGCUUACCAAGGCAACGAUGCGUAGCCGACCUGAGAGGGUGAUCGGCCACACUGGAACUGAGACACGGUCCAGACUCCUACGGGAGGCAGCAGUAGGGAAUCUGCCGCAAUGGGCGAAAGCCUGACGGAGCAACGCCGCGUGAGUGAUGAAGGUCUUCGGAUCGUAAAACUCUGUUAUUAGGGAAGAACAAAUGUGUAAGUAACUAUGCACGUCUUGACGGUACCUAAUCAGAAAGCCACGGCUAACUACGUG